GAAAAUUAAAAACAAACAAGCAAACGAAGAAAAGAGGGGCUCUUAGCUGGACCCCUCCCGCAGGUUCUGAAUAUCCUUGAGCUGCUUUCUUUGCCCAAAUAAGAAGGAAAAUUAUUUUGCUGUCUUAAAUCCAGUGUCUUACUCCCUCCAUUUGUCAAUUUGGUUUUUUUCCACGAAGAUGUGGCCAGGGCAGCCAGUCGGGCUUGGGACUUGAUCACGCCAUCAGACAGCUGUGCUGAAAAAACUCCUUCCAAGGCACAUGUGAUGUGGGACAAAGGACAUCAAAACCUGCUGCUGGGACCUGAGGCUCCACCAGACAUCUGACUCAAAGCUUUCUGAGGUGCUCAGGGCUAACAAGGAUAAAAGGAAUGAAUCAUCCCUAGGGAUUUCUUAUGGAAGAGAAGACAGAAGAGUGGAUUUCCCAGCCACCUUAAUGACAGCCUCAGUGGGGAGCAGGGACCCUCACUCCUGUGAUCCUGGCACUCCAGAGGCUGAGGUCCAAAGGUUAGCUACUCUUGUGAACAAAUGAUCUCUCACACCUAUGCAAGCAGGGAGGACAUCAGUGACCUGCCCCUCCAAGAUCCUAAGGUAUGGUUCACUGAUGUAGCUUUGUCUAAAAAAGAC
rnacentral:lncRNA from 1 species